GAAAUGGGUGAAGGAAAAGUUCUCCUCAGGUUGGCACACUUGUUCAGGGUAUUUGAUGUAUAAGAUUGGGGAGGACAUGGAUCUCGUAGUCAUGGCAAAGCAUAGAGCUGAAAUCCCAGAGAAGAAGGAAUGUAGAAGCAAUAGUUCAGUCUCCUUACAAUAUACUAUCCAAUUGUUCUUUUAGUAUCUGCUUUGCCAUGCCAUUUAGAUAAUCAAAAUAACAGGAUGUCCUUAUCUGCUAAGCAAGAUCGACCAGAGAUGGAGAAGAAGAGACUGGUUUGGAAAGUAGAAGGCUCUGCUAAAAAAAAAUCCAGUGUGUUGAGGACAGGACCUGUCCAUCCAGAAAAGCUGGUGGUGGAACUUUUUCCGAUGGAAAUUCACACGUUCAUCAUCAACUUCAGUUACAAACAGGUCCAUCCCUGAAAGUUAACAGAACCAAUUGUUUUUGUAUUCUUCUUUAUUUGUUGUGUUUUUUUUUUUGGGUGGGUUGAUCUCAUUUGUUUGUGUUUGCUAUGCUGUGUUCUUGGUUUUAGGCCUUCUUCAUUUUGACCUUUUUGUUCUUUUGCUUAAGCUCUUAUUUAUUAGAAAGAAACUUUUUCCCAUCA